rnacentral:sRNA from 1 species
CCCUGUCCCGUCUCAGUACCUCUAUGGGCACAUGUACAUUGUGCGUGCGCUUUUCGUUCGGGCGCCAUAAAUGGACGUGCUGCAAAACCGCAUGCCCCGCUGUGCGUAAGGCUGUGUGGACUAUAUUGCAUUGUGGCAGAGCCAACCAGUCAGAUCCAACAUUAGGUGCAUUGAAAUAAAAAAUUUUAUUCCCUGCAUUUUUCUCUGUACGCCUUACAAAAUAGCUAAUAUUAAAUGCUUGUAGAUUACUAUAGAGAGAGCUCGGGAAAUUUAUGUGCAAGUACAGUACAUACAUUGGCUGUGCACAGAGCCUCCUCGCAUUCAUUUACAAAAUCCAAAAUACUUCAAUAGAUAUAUAUGUAAAGCAUCGCAGCCAUUAACAGCUGGUGAGGAUUGGCAGAUUUGGUCCAAGAACACCGUAAAAUACUGAGGGAGCUGAUAAUAUUUCCAGCCGAAAAAUAUUACUCCCAGCACAUAAAGUUUUCAUGUCAAGCGGCGUUCUGUGGAACAUAUUUCAGAGACAUAACCAGCCAACUUGGAAGUUUGGCCAGGUUCUCGUGGAAAUCAAAGAAUCUCAAUGUGUUCUUUGCUCCUGAUGAAACACCAGCGCAAACAAAAUUUAAAAGCCUGUUCACACCAUUUUCCAGAGGUUUGGUCUUAUGCGCCUAAUCCGCAACUAGCUCUAGAUCAGCUUCCAAGAGGAUGAAAAAAAAAGAAAAAGAAAGAAAGAAAGAAAGAAGAGAAGAGAAAAAGGAGAGAAGAGAAAAAGAGACCACCGCCAUAUAUCCCUUUACAAAAAUCCAGUAAGACAAAGUAACGAG